CCUCCUUUAAAGAAGCAAGACGUGACGGCGUAUGAAGCGUCCUCACAAUCUGUCUGAUCACAAUGUUGGGAAACCGCGGGUCUGUAGCUCAGUUGGUUAGAGCGCACCCCUGAUAAGGGUGAGGUCGGAAGUUCAACUCUUCCCAGACCCACCACUUCUUGCAGCUAGUUGGAAGUUGUCACAGGGGGGCCAUAGCUCAGCCGGGAGAGCGCCUGCUUUGCAAGCAGGAGGUCGGCGGUUCGAUCCCGCCUGGCUCCACCAGGUGAUAAUCCACACCGAUCCUUAGGUGCGUUGUGGAUUAUUCCUUGGCGCCAAGCUUAGGAAAUGUUCUUUAACAAAUUAGGCAGUGAUAUACGACGGUGAAGUCAGGUCGUAGUAAUAGACCGA
rnacentral:tRNA from 1 species